GCCAUAGAUUUAGAUUAGGAAUCUUAGAAAUUAAGGAUGGAGAUGCAACCACCCUUCUAUAAGUCUCUACUUAAUUGUAUAAGAGAGGCUUAGUUUUCCAAGCCAUCUCUCUCUCCUCUUUUAGUGAAGAGCAAAGCCAUCCCAAAAUUUGGCCAAAAAUCCUAAUCUUAAUUUUAUUUAGAUUUUAAAAUCUCAUUGUGAACUUUGUAGGUUGAUGUGUAUAAAGUUUUAGUCGUGAAUGAUAGUCAUUGGAUUUUAAAA
rnacentral:lncRNA from 1 species